CCACUCCUACGGGAGGCAGCAGUGGAACUCCUACGGGAGGCAGCAGUGGGACUCCCACGGGUGGCAGCAGUGGGACUCCUACGGGAGGCAGCAGUGGGACAGUUGGCCCAGAACGAACGCUGGCGGCUGGCUCAGAACGAACGCUGGCGGCUGGCUCAGAACGAACGCUGGCGGCUGGCUCAGAACGAACGCUGGCGGCCCAGACUCCUACGGGAGGCAGCAGUGGGACCCACUCCUACGGGAGGCAGCAGUGGGACUCCUACGGGAGGCAGCAGUGGGACUCCUACUGUGAGGCAGCAGUG
rnacentral:misc_RNA from 1 species